CUUAAACUUUGUACGGGACAAAGUUUAACUUACUUUAGACUUUAUUCGUGACUAUGUUGGAAGAACGAUUAUUUUGUGGAUUGCCUUGUGCUUUGUGAAGUAAAAGACCCAUUUCCCUCUCUAUUAUGUUGAACAAUGGCAUCUCAAUUCAAGUUACUGGAAUUUGGGCUGAACUGGUGUAACCCAAAAAGACCUCUUCACAGGAAAGAAGGUCACACUUGCCUUUCCAACAGCAGGUAACCAUCUUCCAGACUUGGAAACAGCCAAAUCAGCCAGAGAUACAGAGGUUCAAAUAAGUGGGAUUUCUCUUAUGUAUGACUUCCAGGAUUCCAAGCAAAUCUUGAUGGCAUUCACUUCAUUUAUAACCUGUUCUAGAAGAGAUCACUACAUCACUCCAGGUUGUUUCCAGCAGAA
rnacentral:lncRNA from 1 species